rnacentral:rRNA from 1 species
GACGAACGCUGGCGGCGCGCCUAACACAUGCAAGUCGAACGGAGCUGAGAGAAGCUUGCUUUUCUUAGCUUAGUGGCGAACGGGUGAGUAACGCGUGAGUAACCUGCCCUGGAGUGGGGGACAACAGUUGGAAACGACUGCUAAUACCGCAUAAGCCCACGAUCCGGCAUCGGAUUGAGGGAAAAGGAUUUAUUCGCUUCAGGAUGGACUCGCGUCCAAUUAACUAGUUGGUGAGGUAACGGCCCACCAAGGCGACGAUUGGUAGCCGGACUGAGAGGUUGAACGGCCACAUUGGGACUGAGACACGGCCCAGACUCCUACGGGAGGCAGCAGUGGGGGAUAUUGCACAAUGGGGGAAACCCUGAUGCAGCGACGCCGCGUGGAGGAAGAAGGUUUUCGGAUUGUAAACUCCUGUCGUUAGGGACGAUAAUGACGGUACCUAACAAGAAAGCACCGGCUAACUACGUG